GGGCACUUGGCACAGUGGUAGCGCGCACGCUUCGCACGACAAUUACGUAAUUUGCGUGAGGUCCAGGGUUCAAUCCCCUGAGUGUCCA
rfam:Ceriporiopsis subvermispora B unplaced genomic scaffold CERSTscaffold_3, whole genome shotgun sequence.